GACGAACGCUGGCGGCGUGCUUAACACAUGCAAGUCGAACGCUGAAGCUUGGUGCUUGCACUGGGUGGAUGAGUGGCGAACGGGUGAGUAACACGUGAGUAAUCUGCCCCUGACUCUGGGAUAAGCCCGGGAAACUGGGUCUAAUACCGGAUAGGACGUAUGGCCGCAUGGUCUGUGCGUGGAAAGGAUUCUGUCUGGUUGGGGAUGGGCUCGCGGCCUAUCAGCUUGUUGGUGGGGUAAUGGCCUACCAAGGCUUUUACGGGUAGCCGGCCUGAGAGGGCGACCGGCCACACUGGGACUGAGACACGGCCCAGACUCCUACGGGAGGCAGCAGUGGGGAAUAUUGCACAAUGGGGGAAACCCUGAUGCAGCGACGCCGCGUGGGGGAUGACGGCCUUCGGGUUGUAAACCUCUUUCAGUAGGGAAGAAGCCUCUCCUUGUGGUGGGGUGACGGUACCUGCAGAAGAAGUACCGGCUAACUACGUGCCAGCCGCCGCCGUAAAAC
rnacentral:rRNA from 1 species